rnacentral:lncRNA from 1 species
UAACUAUCAACCCCUAUAUUAUACAUAUAACAGUAUUAAAAGAAAAAAUUCAUACAUAUAUCACCAAAAUUCAAGCGACUGUGGUAAUACUUACAUGGGAACAAGAUGCCAAACAAAUUGGGAAAAGUGAAUCAUUAUAAGAUUGGCACAACAAAAACGAGACAAAUUAUUGGCAAACAGAAAAGUGAAUUGAAAAUUGAGGAAUCAUGUUGAUUG